rnacentral:rRNA from 1 species
UCGGGAAUUUUGGGCAAUGGGCGAAAGCCUGACCCAGCAACGCCGCGUGAAGGAUGAAGUAUUUCGGUAUGUAAACUUCGAAAGAAUAGGAAGAAUAAAUGACGGUACUAUUUAUAAGGUCCGGCUAACUACGUGCCAGCAGCCGCGGUAAUACGUAGGGACCAAGCGUUGUUCGGAUUUACUGGGCGUAAAGGGCGCGUAGGCGGCAAUUCAAGUCAUCUGUGAAAUCUCCGGGCUUAACCUGGGAACUGCAUUCAAAACUGACUGACUAGAGUAUGGUAGAGGGUGGUGGAAUUUCCUGUGUAGCGGUGAAAUGCGUAGAUAUAGGAAGGAACACCAGUGGCGAAGGCGACCACCUGGACUGAUACUGACACUGAGGUGCGAAAGCGUGGGGAGCAAACGGGAUUAGAUACCCCAGUAGUCCCUGAGCGGGCUGGCAAGGCGCAU